rnacentral:lncRNA from 1 species
ACCUGAAGCAAUACAGAAGGAGUACUUAAUGUUCAAAUAAAGUCACUGAUCAAAGUAUGGAACAGAAAAUAUAAAUGCAUAUUUUUAAAGCAAACAUUUCAUCUCCUAAAGACAAGAUAAGACAUGGAAUGAGAAGGAGAAAUAAAUUAAUCCCACCAUCCAACAGUGAAAGAAAAAACACAGAACAUGAGGAGGACCAGAAAGCAAUGUGAAAAAGAGUUGAAAGGAGUCACUGCUGAGCUAUUUUAGAUUCUACACCCUCUAUCCAGGCACGAACCUAUCAGCGAUCAUGCCUAACUAUUGCAUACCCCAUUAGACAACCUAAUGUGAAUGUAGGAAGCCUAUUCAUCUAAAGGACAUGGAACCGAGUAGAUGUAACUGAUAUUUCACUAUUGACCUAUAGCCUAUUAAGAUCUACCAUGAGUCAUAUACAUUUGACACUGUGGUUUUCAUUUCGUAAUGCAUAUCUUCACUAAUUUUGUCUAUCAUUUUGUCAAAGGGCUAAAACUAUAGUAAUGAGUACAUUCUUAAUGAGCUUUUCUUUAACUACCACAAUUUGUAUUUAAAUUUUGUCUCAUCUUAUGUUCUAAAAUUGUCACAGCAAAGUGAUCAAGGAAGCUAGAGAUUUUACUAUAUUUUCUUCUCAAUAAGAUGGCUGUAUCUCUUCUAUAUAAAGUAAAUAAAUCCUUGAUACAUGAAUGAAGUAAUGGUUCAGUAAACAAAUUAAAUAUGAUAUGACUUUA